CGAAGGUGGCAAGCGUUGUUCGGAUUUACUGGGCGUACAGGGAGCGUAGGCGGUUCGGUAAGCCCUUUGUGAAAUCUCCAGGCUUAACCUGGAACAGUCGGAGGGGACUGCCGGGCUAGAGGGCGGGAGAGGAGCGCGGAAUUCCCGGUGUAGCGGUGAAAUGCGUAGAGAUCGGGAGGAAGGCCGGUGGCGAAGGCGGCGCUCUGGAACGUUUCUGACGCUGAGGCUACGAAAGCGGUGGGGAGCAAACAGGAUUAGACUACCCUGGUAGUCCACGCCUUAAACUAUGAAUACUAAGUGUCGGCGGGUUACCGCCGGUGCCGCAGCUAACGCAUUAAGUAUUCCGCCUGGGAAGUACGGCCGCAAGGUUG
rnacentral:rRNA from 1 species